AUGGGAGUUCGAUGCCUGGUGCUGCUCCUACGCCCUCCUCUUCUGCCCUUCGUCCACCCUUCUUCUCCUCCAAGGAUAGGUCCGAUUUUUGCUGUGCUCCCGGAUGUGCAGUGCAGUGCACCCGAAUCCCGUGAGCAGUGCGCCGUGCGCCGUGGUGUGGUUUAUCCACGACAGCGUGCGGUGUCCAUGUGCAUUUUUGCAGUUCAGUGGAUGGAUGUUUCAGUGUCUUAUGUUUAUUGUCGUGCCUGUGGGGAUGUAUGCAUGUUUGUAAAAUGGGUGUGCCCGCGGUCCAGCGUGCUGCUAGCCUCCACUAUGCAGUACGACUGGGCGUGCCAUGCGGUUCGACAGUGCUCUUAUACACUUUGCUGA
rnacentral:rRNA from 1 species